rnacentral:misc_RNA from 1 species
GAUGAAGAACCCAGCGAAAUGCGAUAAGUAGUGUGAAUUGCAGAAUUCAGUGAAUCAUCGAAUCUUUGAACGCACAUUGCGCCCCAUGGUAUUCCGUGGGGCAUGCCUGUUCGAGCGUCAUUUACCCCCUCAAGCUCCGCUUGGUGUUGGGCGUCUGUCCCGCUUCGCGCGCGGACUCGCCCCAAAGGUAUUGGCAGCGGUCGUGCCAGCUUCUCGCGCAGCACAUUGCGCUUCUCGAGGCACCGGUGGGCCCGCGUCCAUCAAGCUCACCCCCCCAGUUUGACCUCGGAUCAGGUAGGGAUACCCGCUGAACUUAAGCAUAUCAAUAAGCGGAGGA